rnacentral:rRNA from 1 species
CAGCUUGUUGGUGAGGUAACGGCUCACCAAGGCUUCGACGGGUAGCCGGCCUGAGAGGGCGACCGGCCACACUGGGACUGAGAUACGGCCCAGACUCCUACGGGAGGCAGCAGUGGGGAAUAUUGCACAAUGGGCGCAAGCCUGAUGCAGCAACGCCGCGUGCGGGAUGACGGCCUUCGGGUUGUAAACCGCUUUCAGUUCCGACGAAGCGCAAGUGACGGUAGGAACAGAAGAAGGACCGGCCAACUACGUGCCAGCAGCCGCGGUGAUACGUAGGGUCCGAGCGUUGUCCGGAAUUAUUGGGCGUAAAGGGCUUGUAGGCGGUUUGUCACGUCGAAAGUGAAAACUCAGGGCUUAACCCUGAGCCUGCUUCCGAUACGGGCAAACUAGAGGGAUGCAGGGGAGAAUGGAAUUCCUGGUGGAGCGGUGGAAUGCGCAGAUAUCAGGAGGAACACCGGUGGCGAAGGCGGUUCUCUGGGCAUUUCCUGACGCUGAGAAGCGAAAGCGUGGGGAGCAAACAGGCUUAGAUACCCUGGUAGUCCACGCCGUAAACGGUGGGCACUAGGUGUGGGGAACAU